rnacentral:rRNA from 1 species
UACGUAGGGGGCAAGCGUUGUCCGGAUUCAUUGGGCGUAAAGCGCGCGUAGGCGGUCCGGUCAGUCCGCUGUAAAAGUCCAGGGCUCAACCCUGGGAAGCCGGUGGAUACUGUCGGGCUAGAGUCCGGAAGAGGCGAGUGGAAUUCCUGGUGUAGCGGUGGAAUGCGCAGAUAUCAGGAGGAACACCGAUAGCGAAGGCAGCUCGCUGGGACGGUACUGACGCUGAGGGGCGAAAGCGUGGGGAGCAAACAGG